rnacentral:rRNA from 1 species
CCUACGGGCGGCAGCAGUGGGGAAUAUUGCACAAUGGGCGCAAGCCUGAUGCAGCCAUGCCGCGUGUGUGAAGAAGGCCUUCGGGUUGCAAAGCACUUUCAGCGGGGAGGAAGGCGUUAAGGUUAAUAACCUUGGCGAUUGACGUUACCCGCAGAAGAAGCACCGGCUAACUCCGUGCCAGCAGCCGCGGUAAUACGGAGGGUGCAAGCGUUAAUCGGAAUUACUGGGUGGAAAGCGCACGCAGGCGGUCUGUCAAGUCGGAUGUGAAAUCCCCGGGCUCAACCUGGGAACUGCAUUCGAAACUGGCAGGCUAGAGUCUUGUAGAGGGGGGUAGGAUUCCAGGUGUAGCGGUGAAAUGCGUAGAGAUCUGGAGGAAUACCGGUGGCGAAGGCGGCCCCCUGGACAAAGACUGACGCUCAGGUGCGAAAGCGUGGGGAGCAAACAGGAUUAGAUACCCUUGUAGUC